rnacentral:rRNA from 1 species
CGCACGGGUGCGUAACGCGUAUACAAUCUACCUUUUACAGGGGAAUAGCCCAGAGAAAUUUGGAUUAAUACCCCAUGGCAUAUACUUAUGGCAUCAUAUUUAUAUUAAAGAUUCAUCGGUAAGAGAUGAGUAUGCGUUCUAUUAGCUAGUUGGUGCGGUAACGGCGCACCAAGGCUACGAUAGAUAGGGGCCCUGAGGGGGAUCCCCCCACACUGGUACUGAGACACGGACCAG